GCGCCGGUGGUGUAAUGGCGUAGAGCAUUCCCGCCCGNUGGCGUAGAGCAUUCCCGCCCGGUUAGAGGGAGGUGCGGGUUCGAGUCCCGCCUGGCGCU
rnacentral:tRNA from 1 species